rnacentral:rRNA from 2 species
GUGACGUAUGGUGAAUACAUAGCCAUACGCCGGGAACCCGGUGAACUGAAACAUCUAAGUAACCGGAGGAAGAGAAAGAAACAUCGAUUCCCAAAGUAGCGGCGAGCGAAAUGGGAGGAGCCCAAACCAGCGUGCGUGCAUGCUGGGGUUAUGGACCGCACACGUGAACCGAUUUGUUAAUGGAACUGUCUGGGAAGUCAGGCCAAAGAGAGUGAAAGCCUCGUACAUGAAAACAAUAGGAAGCAGCGGGAUCCAGAGUACCACGAGACACGAGAAACCUUGUGGGAAGUCGGNNNNNNNNNNGAGACACGAGAAACCUUGUGGGAAGUCGGGGGGACCACCCCCCAAGGCUGAAUACUCCUUAGUGACCGAUAGAGCAUAGUACUGUGAAGGAAAGGUGAAAAGGACCCCGGGAGGGGAGUGAAAGAGAACCUGAAACCCUGUGUUUACAAGCUGUGGGAGCACGUUAAGGUGCGACCGCGUACUUUUUGUAGAACGGUCCGGCGAGUUGCCGGUACUGGCAAGGUUAAGCACUUAAGGUGCGGAGCCGAAGGGAAACCGAGUCUCAAAUGGGCGUCAAGUCAGUACAGGCAGACCCGAAACCGGGUGACCUAUCCAUGUCCAGGUUGAAGCGGAAGUAAAAUUCCGUGGAGGACCGGAUCCACAUCCGUUGAAAAGGGUGGGAAUGAGGUGUGGAUAGGGGAGAAAUUCCAAUCGAACCCGGAGAUAGCUGGUUCUCCUCGAAAUAGCUUUAGGGCUAGCCUUGUAUUAGUUUAGCGGAGGUAGAGCACUGAAUUCCUAAGGGGGCGUCAAAGCUUACCAAGGGAUAUCAAACUCCGAAUGCCGUAUAAAUGAUGUACAGGAGUCAGACUGCACGAGAUAAGUUGGGUAGUCAAAAGGGAAAGAGCCCAGACCUACAGCUAAGGUCCCAAAGUAUGUGUUAAGUGGAAAAGGAUGUGGGAUUUCAAAGACAACUAGGAUGUUGGCUCAGAAGCAGCCACACAUUCAAAGAGUGCGUAAUAGCUCACUAGUCGAGAGGUCCUGCGCCGAAAAUGUCCGGGGCUGAAACACAACACCGAAGCUUAGGAAU